GGGACGUUAGCUCAGCUGGUUAGAGCACCUGACUCAUAAUCAGGCGGUCGUCGGUUCGAGCCCGACACGUCCCA
rnacentral:tRNA from 1 species